AGAGUUUGAUCCUGGCUCAGAUUGAACGCUGGCGGAAUGCUUUACACAUGCAAGUCGAACGGUAGAGGGGGCAACCCCUUGAGAGUGGCGAACGGGUGAGUAAUGUAUCGGAACGUGCCCAGUCGUGGGGGAUAACGUAGUGAAAAUUACGCUAAUACCGCAUACGAUCUAUGGAUGAAAGCGGGGGAUCGCAAGACCUCGCGCGAUUGGAGCGGCCGAUAUCAAAUUAGGUAGUUGGUGGGGUAAAGGCUCACCAAGCCAACGAUCUGUAGCUGGUCUGAGAGGACGACCAGCCACACUGGAACUGAGACACGGUCCAGACUCCUACGGGAGGCAGCAGUGGGGAAUUUUGGACAAUGGACGCAAGUCUGAUCCAGCCAUUCCGCGUGCAGGACGAAGGCCUUCGGGUUGUAAACUGCUUUUGUACGGAACGAAAAAGCUCUUAUUAAUACUAGGAGUCCAUGACGGUACCGUAAGAAUAAGCACCGGCUAACUACGUGCCAGCAGCCGCGGUAAUACGUAGGGUGCAAGCGUUAAUCGGAAUUACUGGGCGUAAAGCGUGCGCAGGCGGUUAUAUAAGACAGAUGUGAAAUCCCCGAGCUUAACUUGGGAACUGCAUUUGUGACUGUAUAGCUAGAGUACGGCAGAGGGGGAUGGAAUUCCGCGUGUAGCAGUGAAAUGCGUAGAUAUGCGGAGGAACACCGAUGGCGAAGGCAAUCCCCUGGGCCUGUACUGACGCUCAUGCACGAAAGCGUGGGGAGCAAACAGGAUUAGAUACCCUGGUAGUCCACGCCCUAAACGAUGUCAACUGGUUGUUGGGUCUUCACUGACUCAGUAACGAAGCUAACGCGUGAAGU
rnacentral:rRNA from 1 species